UUCACCACCUUAGAUUCGAUCAUUUAGCACCGUCAGAAAGCUAUAGCAGGUCGUAAGUUCUUCUGCAGAUUUCUUCUGUGUCUAGUUUUUAUUCAAAGCAGUGAAUCUUUACUUAUUCCAUUCUUAUACUUUUGUUUAACAUAAGAAAUUUGAAUAACAAGAACAAAAAUGGCUGAAGAACUUUUAAUACGUGAGAAGACGCAAAUAGAAGCUACAAUUCAAACUAAAGAAAAUACUGGUGCAAGCGAUGAAAUGGGGAAAGAAAAGAAAGAAAUGUCAGAGUUGAACUCAAAGCUUGCCAAACUCUUAUCCCGAAUUGGUAAUUUACAUGAAGAGAACAAACGUCUUGAACAACUCUUAGAAAAGAAGAUUAAAACUGAGAGUGAAGCGAUCACAUUCGAAAUAAAAUCCCAGCAGGAUAAAACAAGGAAAGAGAAACAAGAGAAGAGUAAGGAACUAGUAGCAGUAAAAUGUGAAAAUCAAUCGCUUAUUGAGGAAGUUGGAGAAUUGCAAAAACAAUUGCUAAAAAUGGAAACGCAGAACAAUGAAUUAAAGAAUGAAGUUUCCCGCUGCAAUGAAGCAAGCAACAGCAGCGGGAUGGAAAGUGAACUUGAAGAGUGGAAGAACAGAUGUAACAAUCUUAGAGAGAAACUAAAGGAAAAAAAUACUCGAAAUGUCGAGUUAACUAACCAGGUCGAGGAGCUGAAAGACGAACUUGAUAUGAAAAAGGAUUUCCAUAAGGCCGGUGACAAUGCAUUGAAGAUAGUGAUGUCAGAUUUACAGAAAAUAUCCUUCGAAUAUCGUUCGGAGGAUUACGAAAAAGCAAUUGAAGAUUUACGCGCCGAAUAUGAGGAUAUCAUUGCUGACUUGAAAAGUACACAUGAAAAAGAGAUAAAGCGGCUGAAGAGCAGAGAUUUUCUGGACGGUAAGGAAAGAAACAAGGAGAUCUUGGUUAAACUGAGUGAAUAUGAAAUUCAGAUAAGGACACUAGAAUAUCAACGAGAUCAAGCCAUACAAAAGAGUGAACAUGAGAAGGUGACCUACGAGCGCGAGACUGAAAUUCAGUAUCGUAAAUUAAAAGUCGUGACAGAUGAUAUUCUCUCCAUGAAACUUCAGAUUGCACACUAUCGCAAACUCCUUGAUGUAGGAGAGAAAAAGAUGGACAUGAAAUCAAUUGCAGCUUCUAUGGGUGGAUAUCAAACAGAGAGUGAGAAGGCACUCGCUAACGCACUAGCAUCAGCAGCAACUAUGCCACGCCAAAGCGUUGUGAAAAUUGUUGACUUAGAAACCAAGGGAAAAUACAUUACACUUGAAGACCUUACUAAGCCUCCGAGCGGUGCUCCAACAUGAUCAAUUGGAAACUGACACAAACCUUUGAAAAUGGCAAAAGCCACACCCAUAAAUUUACUGAUGGUAACGUGUUUGGUUCUGGCAAAAUUGUGAAGAUUUGGGGAUCAAAGCACGGUGCUAAGCAAGAUGGAAUCACAUCUUCCGCUGUCGCUGAAUGGAAAGCAAAGGCCAUCCCAUCGAAAAUUAUUUUGGAAGAUGAGAUGGGCAAGGAAAUCGAUAACCUUGAUAUCAAAUAAAGCCCAUGAAGAACGUAACGUCUCAGCAGGAAAAAAUCCGCUUUGCUGCAGUUAGCACCAAAUUCCAGAAAGUGUCCCCCACCCCAAUGAUAAUAAAAAUUUCAGUUAAAAUACUAAUUCUAAAGUAAGCUUGUAGAAACUUCAAAUAUUCUAAUACUUUUUAUAUGAUUUAAUAACAUUUAGAAAGAAAGGUAAAUUUAAUUUUCAGUACAAUAUAUUUUACAACAUUGGUAAACAAUUAUUCAAAUAUUAACAAACGCUUCAAUUUGAUACGAUUUGUAAUCGUAAUUUUAAUAAAGAUUUCUAUACCACGAGUUAAUUAGAUAUUAUAAUAUCGAUGUGCGGUGUGUUUUGCUUUCAAAUAUUUUGAACCUAAUGGAAUUUCGCACUAUUAAAGCGAAAAAUUUAUGCAAUAUGAAAAUCGAGGAAAAUAUGCAACGAUAUGUUUUGAAAAUA